rnacentral:rRNA from 1 species
UAGGCGUAAAUGAUGCGAGUUAAGUGUGGGGCAUCUACGAGAUGGCCCUGUGCUGUAGGGUAGCCGUUAAACUCGCUGCCUGGGGAGUACGGUCGCAAGGCUGAAACUUAAAGGAUUGGCGGGGGAGCACCACAACGGGUGGAGCCUGCGGUUUAAUGGACUCAACGCCGGGAAGCUUACCGGGACCGACAGCAACAUGAAGGCCAAGCUGAAGACUUUGCCGGAUUAGCUGAGAGGAGUGCAUGGCGUAGUCGUGU